AGUGAACGCUGGCGGUAGGCCUAACACAUGCGAGUCGAACGGCAGCACAGUAAGAGCUUGCUCUUACGGGUGGCGAGUGGCGGACGGGUGAGGAAUACAUCGGAAUCUACUUUUUCGUGGGGGAUAACGUAGGGAAACUUACGCUAAUACCGCAUACGACCUACGGGUGAAAGCAGGGGAUCUUCGGACCUUGCGCGAUUGAAUGAGCCGAUGUCGGAUUAGCUAGUUGGCGGGGUAAAGGCCCACCAAGGCGACGAUCCGUAGCUGGUCUGAGAGGAUGAUCAGCCACACUGGAACUGAGACACGGUCCAGACUCCUACGGGAGGCAGCAGUGGGGAAUAUUGGACAAUGGGCGCAAGCCUGAUCCAGCCAUACCGCGGGGGUGAAGAAGGCCUUCGGGUUGUAAAGCCCUUUUGUUGGGAAAGAAAAGCAGCAGGUUAAUACCCCGCUGUUCUGACGGUACCCAAAGAAUAAGCACCGGCUAACUUCGU
rnacentral:rRNA from 1 species